AGUGAACGCUGGCGGUAGGCCUAACACGUGCAAGUCGAACGGCAGCACAGUAAGAGCUUGCUCUUACGGGUGGCGAGUGGCGGACGGGCGAGGAAUACAUCGGAAUCUACUUUUUCGUGGGGGAUAACGUAGGGAGACUUACGCUAAUACCGCAUACGACCUACGGGUGAAAGCAGGGGAUCUUCGCACCUUGCGCGAUUGAAUGAGCCGAUGUCGGAUUAGCUAGUUGGCGGGGUAAAGGCCCACCCGGGCGACGAUCGGUGGCUGGUCGGAGAGGAGGGUCGGCGGCACGGGAACUGAGCCGCGGACAAGAGGACUAAGGGAGGGCGCAGUGGGGAAUAUUGGACAAUGGGGGCAAGUCUUACCCAACCAGCGCGAGUCUGUGAAGAAGGCCCUCGGGUUGUAAAGCCGUUUUGUUGGGAAAGAACAGCUGUAGGUUGAGACCCAGCUGGUGUGACGGUACUGGAAAAAUAAGCACCGGCUAACUACGUG
rnacentral:rRNA from 1 species